CCUACGGGUGGCAGCAGUCGAGAAUCAUUCACAAUGGGGGAAACCCUGAUGGUGCGACGCCGCGUGGGGGAAUGAAGGUUUUCGGUUUGUAAACCCUUGUCAUGUGGGAGCAAAUAAAAAAGAUAGUACCACAAGAGGAAGAGACGGCUAACUCUGUGCCAGCAGCCGCGGUAAUCCAGAGGUCUCAAGCGUUGUUCGGAAUCACUGGGCGUAAAGCGUGCGUCGGCGGUUUCGUAAGUCGUGUGUGAAAGGCGCGGGCUCAACCCGAGGACGGCACAUGAUACUGCGAGACUAGAGUAAUGGAGGGGGAACCGGAAUUCUCGGUGUAGCAGUGAAAUGCGUAGAUAUCGGGAGGAACACUCGUGGCGAAGGCGGGUUCCUGGACAUUAACUGACGCUGAGGCACGAAGGCCAGGGGAGCGAAAGGGAUUAGAUACCCCAGUAGUC
rnacentral:rRNA from 1 species